GAAGUCACUGUAACAAACACGACAUAUUCAAAUCAUCAUACUCGUAAAGCAUGCCUUCAUGUCUAAACCUGCAAGUUUUUUUUUUUUUUUAAUCUUUAGCAGGGGAACUGAAAUCAAUACCUCCCCCACAUGAUGCGGUUAGCUCCAAAGCUGGAUACAAUUUGAGAGAGGAGAAACAUAGAUACCACGAUUUAGGAUGAUUUCAAGAGUACAAUAGUAUUAUGAUUGCAUGGACUCGAAGAAGGGGAGCAUGGGAGUCGGUGGUGAAUGGAUUCAAGGAGGAGAACAAAUGAUGGAAAGAUUUUGGUUUACAGGAGAAGAAACCAAGCCAGGUGAUCAGAAUAUCUUUAAGGUCACUUUUACCUGGGGAAAACUUGCAAGCUCCAAAAGCUGGGAAAUUGCAAGACUGUCUUCUUCAUUUCUGCACAAGCACUCAACACUGACCUUGUCACAUAGGAGUGAUCAAAUUUAUGGUUGAUCGGCUGGACGAUAAGCGCACCAUCUACCCCUGCUUCUUCCAUGGACUGAUAUUUGUUUUGGACAGAUUGAAGAAAAUGUUAGACGAACACGACUCUCCAUAAUGGUAUCAAUCCAGAGAUUCAAAUAUGAAGAGUUGAAUUCUGUGAGAUGUCAUUGAAACAGCCUUCUCCGUAGUUCCACAAUAGGAUAAAUCCAUGUAGGAUCGGGUGAAUGCUUAUAUUAGUGAAUCAAGAUGAAGAUAAGUGGGAGGAUUACCUGGAGCAAGAAAUGGAGGUGCCCUGUUAAGGUGGGUUCCUGGCCUGGAAAGUAAGGGUAUUGUGCAGCAGCCUAGAGAGUGAAUCGAGUAAAAUGGGAGUCAGCAUAGGUAGGUUAUCAUGCUUAUACAAACAGAGAUUGAGGAAUGAAUGAUUCGAUUUUACCUCUUGUGGAGAUGCCCAGACAUGGAGAUGCGAAUCGAUAACUUUGCCAUCAGUAGCAGAAGAAGACGGUGAUGACGAAGAUGAAAAUGGCAUGUUGAGUUUGAAAUUAGGGUUGCUGCUGGUGGUGGUGGUGUAUUGAGAUGCAGAUAUUGUGGGAGCGGCAGAGGAAUUCCUGGAAGAUGGCGAUAGCGAGGAACGAAGAGAGCGGAGAGAAGAUGGCAGUGAAACAAGUUUCAGCCUCGCUGCCAUUGCCACUGCCACCGCCAUUUUAGAUAAGGAAGUAACGAUUCCCCCACGCAAGUUUGUUUUAAAAAUUCAAAUAAAUU